UACAGAGGGUGCGAGCGUUGUUCGGAAUCAUUGGGCGUAAAGCGCUUGUAGGCGGCUUGUUAAGUCGCGUGUGAAAUCCCUUGGCUCAACCAAGGAAGUGCGCGCGAAACUGGCGAGCUCGAGUGCCGGAGAGGGUCGCGGAAUUCCCGGUGUAGAGGUGAAAUUCGUAGAUAUCGGGAGGAACACCAGUGGCGAAGGCGGCAACCUGGACCGAUACUGACGCUGAGGUGCGAAAGCGUGGGGAGCAAACAGG
rnacentral:rRNA from 1 species